rnacentral:lncRNA from 1 species
CAGCAAUGCCAGACCCUUAACCCACUGAGCAAGGCCAGGGAUCGAACCUGCGUCCUCAUGGAUACUAGUCAGAUUCGUUGCCACUGAGCCACGGUGGGAACUCCAGAAAAGUCUUGACCUUUGUGAUAAUGAUAAGGAGGGUUCUCAAGGACUUUAAGAAGGGAGAACACCUUGCUUAUGAGUAGUCCAACUCUUUCUUCAAAACUAUGUAUUAAUUUUGGAGGAAGUGGCAAAAAAUGUUAAAGCAACGCAUUCAUAUAUUCAGGAAAAUACUCACGUUCUAAGUCCAGCGUUUUCCAAUACCAAUUCUUCCAGUCGAUUGGACCUACUCACCACCCUCAAGAUCUGUUCACAGACAUCGGUGGACUGUAACAGAAAAUAUUCUUUAACCAUGCCAUAAGUCUAAAAACAACCUGACUUCACUGUCAGAAAUCUACCCAGCUGGAAGGUUUUAGAUAAACAAAUCAUUCAUUUAAUCAACAAACCCUGGCUCAACAUCUACUACUGCACACUCUCAUGGUGUACAUCUAAGGAAUACAACAUAAAGGACAAAGUCCCGGCCCUCAAGAGCGUACCAUCUGGAAGGCAAUCAGACGAGGAGGAAGGAUACAAUUAUGAUAGAAAAUUAAAAAGGCCAUUUUGGUAGCGCUACGGGCGCACAGAGGCACAUCUCACCCAAUCUUGGAAAAAACCAAAAGGAAUUCCCAAGACAGUGAUAACCACAAUAAAGAAUUAAAGCCCCAGGAGUAGCAAUGAGGGGGACCACGUUGAUGAUGAAAAUCUCCUUACUGAGCUCUUGUCAUGUGUCAGGCCUUGAGCUGAGCCCUUUAUGUGUAUUUCACUAUAAAACUGUUAAUUAACCUUUUUGUACAUACGAAAAUUAUAGGUAAAGAUAUCAUGUACUUUAAAAGGGUGGCUGAAUAACCACUGGAUAAAUGCUAAGUCUUACGAUGUUGCUACUAGUCAUCUCUAAAGCAAGAAGACUUUAAUAAAUAGUCUCUUAUGUUAAUAAACCUCAUGUUUACAAAAGCCAUGUAGUUGUAAACUUACAUCUGUCAAAAUAUUUUAAAUGGGUAGGAUACAAUGAUAAAUGAAAAUGUAUCAUUAAAAUGGCAUGUUUAAUAAAGAUUACAACAAUUGAAAUAGCUAAUGUAUGUAUGGAGCAAAGUCUUGAGGGGGCUAUCAAAAAUGAAGACUUAUGGAAUUCCCGUCGUGGUGCAGCGGAAACGAAUCCGACUAGGAACCAUGAGGUUGCAGGUUCGAUCCCUGGCCUUGCUCAGUGGGGAUCAAACCUGUGUCCUCAUGGAUACUGGUUGGGUUCAUUACCACUGAGCCAUGAUAGGAACUUUGCUAAAACAAGUCCCAGCAUCUCCCCCUGACCUCUAGUGAUGGCUGUAGCUUCUCCAAGAGUGAAUUCCACCUUACAAUACAGGGCCUCCUGAAGCCUGCAUUAUCUGAGUGUCUUCUCCUGUAAGUGGUCAUUCAGCAACUAAUGCAAAGCAUCCUCAUCUCAUCUCAUGUGGUUUUAAUGUCAAGUAGUGACUACACUUCAGAACCUCUUUAUUGUGUAUUCUGUUCUGUCACUUGAUUUCAUCUGAAGUGCAGCUGGCUUUUGUCAUAAUGAAUUCAUUUUCAGGCACUGAAGGGCCUAUCUUUAAUAGAACCAGGUUUUACAUGAAUGCAGUGGGCGAGACAGCAUCAUCUCUACAUAUGACAGGUAAAAACCUUGAAAGGAAGAUUCUAGUACACCUGAAAGUCCAAUUUAAUAUGUAAUGACACCAGAAAUGUUUGAAACAUUAAAUUUUUUAAAUAGAUAGCAUUCCAGGUGCCUAUUUGUACGAUUAGAGCCAACGAUUAUAAGUGGUAAAAACUACAUGUAAAAUGAUAGAUAUAAACGUUCACAAAUACAGACACUGUGUGUCUACAUUUUUUAAGACAAAAAAUAUAGCAAAAUGUUAUGAGGAUACCUAGCCUGGGGGGUUACAUUAAAUAUGAUAUGAAUUUUUUCUAAUGCAAUUCUUGUACUCUAUUGUUUAAUUUGCCUAUAUUGAUCCAUAUUCAUAAUCUAAAAGAACCAUCAAAUUAAAUACUCUCUGGGUGGCAUAAAUAAAAUUUCGUUGUAGAAAAAAAUGUCCAUGAAGAUGCAUGCUGGCAUGGUCUGCCCACCACAUUUCUCUAAAUUAUGUCAAUGCUUAGGCUUUUUAAUGGUACAAACAAAAAACUGAAAGCUACAUCAUAAUUCAUUCAAUAAACAAUUACAUAGUACCUACUAAGUUCUGGGUAGGGGUAAUAGGCUCUGAGGUUUAAGUCACAAAUAAGGGCAGCUCUUGUUCCACUGUUAAACUUCCGUGGUGGAGAAAGACCCCUCCUCAAAUCUCUGCAGCCCAAUGGGAGACAUGCUGGGAGGGGGCAUGUUCAAAGUGCCCUAAGAACCCAAGAGGACCUAAGUACUUCAGCCUGGAGUAAAUGGGGAAGGGUCCACAGGCUUGAGAGACAGGAGGGGGCCGACCAGGAAGGGAAAAGGGAACAGAGUGUUUCAAGUAAUUAGGAAUGGCAUUCACGAAGGCAUGGGUACUCAAAAAUGCCCGGCAACUCCAUCCAUUCAUAUAACCAACAACUGCCACCCCUGUGCAGCAAUGAACACAACAAGCUAGCCCCUCCCCUUAUAAUAGUAAUGACCUAACACAGCCUAGCAGAAAGCUCAGAGAAUAAAAGCAACUAUAAUAGAGUAAAAUAAUCCCUCUGGCAUAGGGGGAAUUGGAAGUAUUAUGUUGCAAAUAAGAGACAUCCAUAAAGAAAAGGUAGUCAGGAAAGACUCUCACGAGAAGGAUAGGAUACAAGAUACUGAGCCUUCUAGACAAGAAAGUGGAGUGAGAAACACAUUGCCAUCCCAGGAGAAAAGGCAACAGAGAAAGUACGGCUUAGAGACUUUUAGAAUCUGACUCCAAAAGCAUAAUUUAAAAAAAAAAACAAAACAAAAAAAAAAACAACAACAACAAAAACCACCCAGGAAGUUCCUGUUGCGGCACAGCAGAAACGAAUCCAACUAGUAUGCAUGAGGAUGUGGGUUUGAUCCCUGGCCUCGCUCAGUGGCAGCUACAGCUCAGAUUCAACACCUAGCCUGGGAACUUCCAUGUGCCGGGGGUGCAGCCCUAAAAAG